rnacentral:rRNA from 1 species
AUUGAACGCUGGCGGCAGGCCUAACACAUGCAAGUCGAGCGGAUGACGGGAGCUUGCUCCUUGAUUCAGCGGCGGACGGGUGAGUAAUGCCUAGGAAUCUGCCUGGUAGUGGGGGACAACGUUUCGAAAGGAACGCUAAUACCGCAUACGUCCUACGGGAGAAAGCAGGGGACCUUCGGGCCUUGCGCUAUCAGAUGAGCCUAGGUCGGAUUAGCUAGUAGGUGAGGUAAUGGCUCACCUAGGCGACGAUCCGUAACUGGUCUGAGAGGAUGAUCAGUCACACUGGAACUGAGACACGGUCCAGACUCCUACGGGAGGCAGCAGUGGGGAAGAUUGGACAAUGGGCGAAAGCCUGAUCCAGCCGUGCCGCGUGUGUGAAGAAGGUCUUCGGAUUGUAAAGCACUUUAAGUUGGGAGGAAGGGCAGUAAGUUAAUACCUUGCUGUUUUGACGUUACCGACAGAAUAAGCACCGGCUAACUCUGUGCCAGCCGCCGCCGUAACAC